UUGUUUUCUUUGUCGGCGAGCGGCGGACGGGUGAGUAAUGGUUGGGAACUUGGCCUAGUGAGGGGGAUAACAGUUGGAAACGACUGCUAAUACCGCAUGAUCUCUACGGAGCAAAGAAGGGGAUUCUUCGGAACCUUUCGCACUGGGAUAGGCCCAAUUGGGAUUAGCUAGUUGGUGGGGUAAUGGCUCACCAAGGCGACGAUCUCUAGCUGGUUUGAGAGGAUGAUCAGCCACACUGGAACUGAGACACGGUCCAGACUCCUACGGGAGGCAGCAGUGGGGAAUAUUGCACAAUGGGCGCAAGCCUGAUGCAGCCAUGCCGCGUGUAUGAAGAAGGCCUUCGGGUUGUAAAGUACUUUCAGCGAGGAGGAAGGUGUAGUAGCUAAUACCUAUUACAUUUGACGUUACUCGCAGAAGAAGCACCGGCUAACUCCGUGCCAGCAGCCGCGGUAAUACGGAGGGUGCGAGCGUUAAUCGGAAUUACUGGGCGUAAAGCGCAUGCAGGCGGUUCGUUAAGUUAGAUGUGAAAGCCCCGGGCUUAACCUGGGAGUUGCAUUUAAGACUGGCGAGCUAGAGUCUUGU
rnacentral:rRNA from 1 species